rnacentral:lncRNA from 1 species
AUGUAUUAUAUUACAUUAUUUGGUGUUUUGCCAGGUCCUGGUGCAAUUGGAGCAAAAAUGAGUAAUAUGGAAAUAACUAGCCAGUUAGGCAGAGUGCGGCACUGAAUUAUAAUUACCGCUAUUUUUCUCGAAAGGACCGAGGCUGCUAUCUCUAUGUUAUCUAUUAAGGGCCACAGUGUACAAAAUAAAAGUUAUAAUUAAUUUUCUUUGGUUAUUACAAAAGCAAAAUAAAAAGAUGCAGAUUUUCGUGAAUUAUAUGUUGACCAUUUAGUUCAUUGUUGACCGAGCCACACACAAACAAGUUGAUCCAUUAUUAUUUGUUGAUGGGCCAUCUCUACUAGAUUAAUUGGGCAUCAUAAAGGCAGCCAUAGAUAUAUUUGGAGAAAGAUUAUUUUCGAGGCGACAAAAAGAAGAGAAAAGGAUUGGGCUACGGCUAGGAGGGGGCCAGGCCCACUUAGAUUUCGUUAUACACACAAUCAGAAAGGUUGCUUAGGAGGAACAUUAGGAGUGACGGCUGUAUACAAAAGAGAACAGUUGACGACAGUAAGGCAGUUGACCGCUGUCUUUGAAGAGAAGCAUAUUUGGCGGCUGCGAGGGAGAGUUCGAUCCAGAAGAAGAAAGGAAAAAAAGAAUUGGUUCAAGCUUUUAAGCCGCUAUUCAAGAUUCGGGUUUGAUUUGUAAUUUAUUAUUUUUUGGUUUUGUUAGACUUUGUGUUUUACAAACUACUAAAUAUGAUUUGUUUAUGGUAUGAAGCUUGUUUCCUU